rnacentral:lncRNA from 1 species
AAUUGUUCCAUGCACUUCUGUUUUUUGGGUUUCUUCUGAAUUGAUUGAUUCCUUACGGUUGAUCUUCUUGUCUUUUUCUUUUGUGCUGGUUUAUGAUCAUGCCCAAGUGCACAAGCAAAUUAGGAAGUCUUUAAUAUUUUAAAAGAAAGGAAAGAAAUGGAUGUAGAACUGGAAAACUAAAAAUUAAAGAGAGUGAGACCUGAGAGGAACAGAAGAAAUACCAACUUAAUUACAAAACCAAGAAAACAAAACUAAUGGAGAACUGAGAAACCAAAAUUAGAAGAGAGGCAAAGCAGAACUGAAGAAGUCAAAAACUUUUACAUUUCAGAAAACAUAAUUAAAAUUAGAAAUAAAAGGAGGAGAAAAAUCAAGGAUGGAAAUGAAUGUCCUUACAUAAAUGUUCCCUUCAAUUCAUUGCGAGAUCGGGGAACUCCCGCACGUAAAGACGGAACUACCAUAGAACUUCCCAAUUAAAACCUACAUAAAUGUAUUUGCGAG